UACGGAGAGGGCAAGCGUUGUUCGGAUUUACUGGGCAUAAAGCGCACGUAGGCGGAUCCAUAAGUCGGUUGUGAAAUCCCGGGGCUCAACCCCGGAAUGGCGGCCGAAACUGCGGGUCUAGAGGACGAGAGGGGAGAGUGGAACUUCUGGUGGAGCGGUGAAAUGCGUAGAUAUCAGAAGGAACACCGGUGGCGAAAGCGACUCUCUGGACGGCAACUGACGCUGAGGCACGAAAGCGUGGGGAGCAAACAGG
rnacentral:rRNA from 1 species